rnacentral:sRNA from 1 species
AAGAACACUGCUUGAUCUUUAAAUAUACAGGUGUACUAAUGAGAAAGAUACGCAAUAUUGAAGAUAGGAGUCUUUCUUGUAUAGGACUGACGAGGUAUCACAAGAGACUAAUUUCUGGCCUUUGGUAAAAGUGCCUCGAUCCCCAAUGGAUAUCCCUUGGGAACAAUCAUUUGAUUUUCACUAAUUUUAAGAUUAGCGAGGUAACUUACAAGCACGCAGCAAAUAGCAGUAUUUGGAAUCAAACGCAUCCCUUUCCCGGGUUAUUUGAACCGUGACGGAAUCGCCAGGCGUUACGGACAGUGAUUCUGCGCCCUGCAGACACCGGAUGGUGGACGUCGUCUGGUGACUUAUUGUAAUAGCGGAACCACAUCCGUAAUAUCCCGGGGAGUAGACGUAAUUAAACUCCAAGCGACUUCCGGCGACGAUGUAAAUAGUGCAGCUACAAGAUGGCGUCCCGGCGGAUUCGAAUGGAGCAAAAUCAAACAUGACACUGUCACCGGAAAUAUGUCCAGAAACACACAUCUGUGAAGCUAGAAGAAAAAAAAGAAGACAUUUCAAGCAUUGCAUCAGAACUUGUUUUCUAUUUACUCAGUCAACAUACAUUGAUAUGGAUGUAUAUAAAUUUAAUCUGUAGUUAAAGAAGCAUUCGGAACAACUAACAACAUGCAUUGUAAUUGUACGAUAGCUGUAACGAUUUGCAAUAUCUAUAACCCUUUUUCAUUGAAAAAUGCUCGAUCGUAGAUUGAAUUUCGUAUUCAAAUCUGAUUUUGCUUGUGAAACUUGUUAAGGUCAUAUAUUUCUGUUUUAUAUUCUUAUUUCACAAUAAUCCGAAUAAGAUAAAAAUCUUUCUUAUGAUGAACUGCAAAUAAUUUGAAGAAAAUAAAAGUUGAUUCA